UUUCCGCUAUAAUCUGCCUUCCUCAUAUCAUUAUAUGUUAAUCAAUGUACUAUAUUCACAUGAUCUUUCAUAGUUUUCUCUUUUUUCUUUAUUUAAUCGGUCCAGUUUUUCUCUUUUUCUUAAUUUAAUCGGUUCAGUUUUUUUAUUUUUCUUAAUUUUGUUAAAUUAUUAUUACUGAUUAAUCUUUAAUUAUUUGCGUUUCUGUUUGAAUUUCAUUAUCAGUCUGUAUUCUUCUAAAAUUUGUGUUGGCAAGGGAUUUAUCAAUAAUUUGAUUUGGAUACAAAAAGUGUUCUUUUUUUUUUGGAAGAGGUAUAUUUGGAAAUACUUUGGUUGAUCUUGUUGUUAUAAUUAUUAUUUGUUUUAACUUAUUGUUAUGAUCCUUCUUCUUAAUAUUAUUAUUAUUAUUAUUAUUUUUGUUGUUAGCGUGGUUAUGAUUUUUAUUUUUAUUUUCCUUUUGUUUGUGAUAGCAAAAUAGUGGCUUUUAGGAGUGAUAUUACUUGUCUCAUAGUUUGAUUGCAUUUUCUUUAAAUUUAAUGAGUUUAAUUAAGAAAUUUUGAUGCAUUUUCUUAUGUAUCUUAUGUAACUGAUAAAAAAAAAAAAGAUACAGAAGAUGCUGUGCUCUGUAAUUUAAAGCAUUCUAUAAAUUUAUUUUAUUUUGUGUAUUAUCUAACUUGACUAUCCUGUAAAUCAGUCCAAAAUUUUCAAAUUCACAAUAGCUAUCGGAUUACAGCACUUAAUCUAAGUUAUGGACUCAUGAUCAAUUUUUAAUUUCCACCUUUCCUAAUGCAUUUGGCAAGUAACAUCUUUUUGGGUUGAGUUAUUAUUGGAACUCUAAUGAAAAAUAAAGGGAUUCAACCAUUGCAGAAAAAAAAAGGGUAUGAGGAUGAAGCCUGAGGAAACAAUUCAAAAGCAAGUGAUACUAUUCAGUAAUUUGAGAUAGAGGGUUGGAUUUUCUUUUUGUUGUUAACAUUUGAAAGCUAUAUGUAUUGUGAAAGAAGCUUUGUAUUAGAUAAAGAGAUGGGAGAAUAUGCUUAAACAUGCAUGAGGAGGCCUAUUUAAUUACUGUCAAGCUAUUGUCUUAUUUUCUGUUCUUUGGGUGCUUCCUUGGUAAUCCUGGGGGAUGUUGGUUUUGGUGGUCUGUAUAAAGAAGCAAUGGGUUCCCUUGUUUUUGCUUUCCCUAGGCCUGUCGGUUUUGAUGACUCUUAAAACUGGAGCUUCCAGCGCUGGAAUGGGGCCUUGGAGGGGCAGUUAAUUGAAGUUUGAUGGAAUUUUUCUUCAGUAAACUUUACACUCUGAAAGCUUGGUUUUCCUUGAAUGAAAUUUGCACUCUGACAGUAAGUUACUAAACUUCUGGUGGAGAGUUCUAGUUUGGGUUCUCAAAUUGCACUUCCUAUCCAUUUUCUAGACAAAUUUACUAAUUUAAUGGACCACACAGGCUGUUUUUCAGGAUAUCUUUGAAUAUUUUAAAAUUGUUAUCGAUUGAUAUUAUUAUUUGUGAAACAUAUUUCUUGUACAUUAAUUUAUGUGGAUAAAUUUUCAAUAAAGCAGUUUGUUACUAUAAAUUAUUUUUUAUUGAGCUAGAGUGGAGGGGAUGAUCGUUAUAGAUGAUCAUAGCUGGUGGGCGUUUUCUAUGAAGCAAUCUAUUGACACAAUAAUUUAAUCUUGGAAGCUGUUACAGUGUUUUGUAUAAAAAAUGAAAAUGUAUGGACAAUAUUUUCAUGCUUAUGUAAUGUUCACCAGAGGAAUGUGAAUGAGUCCAUCAUCCUAUUUCUUAUUGUGGGUUGUCUUUUUCCAUGUUCAUUUUUCAAAUUCUUCUAAGUAUUAUCUAGUUUUUCUUUUGGAGGUUUUCUUAUGUGGGGUCUUAUCGCUAUCAGAUUACAGAGCCUUGCAGGGAAGAUUGUUAUAAAAUGAACUUGGUUAGCCUCCCUUUGGUGAAUUGGGGGAUAUAGGAACAAGAUAGGCAUACAAGGAUCUUUGAGGAUGAGAAUGAGAGUGCUGGUUCUACAAAGAAAGAGUUGACUUUGUUGUCAUCAUUUGAUAUCUGAUUUCAUAAGUCUUACCUGAAAUAAAGUUGUCCUUUAUCUUAAGAGAUUGAAAGGCUGCUGCUUUGCCUAACCCUCAUUAUUGUCCUUCUAUUUGAUCUUGGCUGCCUCCUCUUAAGGACCUUCUCAAUCAUUCUUCAUAGGAGGGUUUUAUGUUGUGUGCGCUGGGUUCAUGGGGGGAACUCAGGCAUUUGGGCAUAAGAGUUUUCCUGAGAGAUCCAGGAAGAAAGAUCAGUUUCACCCCCUUCGAAGCCUUAGUGUGGGACAAGCUGAUCGUGUAAAGAUUAAACUCUUGUAUUGGUUUGAGAAAAGCUGGAAGGUCAGAUUUCUUUAUUUCUCUACUUGUUUAUUUUUUCUCUUUUUUUAAUUGUUAUUAAGGCAGUGUCACAGAAUGGGGAAGCAAGUUAGAGAAUGCACAGUUCGUGCUUGGAAGUUCUCCAAUCUUUGGAAUGAAGUAAUCGAUCUCUUAAAUAGCCUUAGUUUUUGCUUUUCUUUUUUUUUUUUUUUUUGGGGAUCUGAAGUUUCUUAUUCAGAGAUCGAAUUCCUUGCAAAAUAUUGUACUUUGACCCGUUUAAUAAUUUCUGUGUACUCUCUCUCUCUCUCCACAACACCCCUCCAUCUUUUUUUUUUGAUGGGUAAACACAGAAGAGAAUAUAUUAAUUAGAAAAAGGAAGCGAGGGCAACCCAAGGCAUACAAGAAGUAUACAGUAGGUGCAAAAAAGGCUAAAAAGAGCAAAACAGGAGGGAAAACAAAAGCCUCACCCGCCCUCACCUAGAGCCCAACCAAUCAAAAAAGUCGAUUAAAGAUAAAGGGCCAGCAUCUAUAUACGACUUUGUCCAAGACCAUAAACUACACACAAAAGAAUACUUCAACCUAUGCAUUGAAAACUCUUCAUUGUUGAACGCUAUCCUAUUUCUUUCUUUCCACCCCACCCCCCUUCUCCUAACCUUUUUUGUUUUCCAGUAUGAAUAUUGAAUCUUAUAAAAAGAAAAACUGUCUACAGCAUGCUGGACACUUGAAGUAACUAAGACUCACAGGAUCUAGUUAGAUGUUAUUAGGCUUUGUUCCUUUUAGUGAGUAUGCAGGUUCAGCAGUGAAGAUGUUUCUUCUCUGUGUUAUGGCCUCACUAUUGUUGUCAUGUUGUAACUGAAAAAAAAAAUGGAGGAUCCCUUUUUUCUUUCAAGUGAGAGAAGCUGGUAGAAUAUCUGGUUCCCUUAGCCCAUUUAGUCCUCUCUCUUAAAGACUUUUUAUAUCCAUAUAACAUGCAGUUUAGACUGCUUGCUUAGUGCCUCAGGCAGUCCCUGUUCACUAAGUUCCCCACAGUUUAUCCCCAUAUGUUUCAUAGUUUUGACUCCUUAUUGCUUUUUCAUAGCACCACUUAGACAAUUCACAGCUCAAAUUCAUUUUUCUUGGUAAGAGCAUCCUUUUCAUUUUGAGCAAGUAUUUUGAUAUCUACAUGGGAAAAUCUUGAUUUUCUAAUUACUGAUCAAUCCCUCUAAUUUCUGAUUUCCUUUUUGUAGUCCUUAGGUAAGGUAUUAAUGGUAUUGCAGGCACUAUGUUGAACUUCCUGGUCCACAAUACAUGUGAUUUUUCUUUCAGGAUUCUGAAUCCCCUUUAAGCUUACUGCCUCAGAUCACCAGGUUAUACCAUCUCAGCCUUGGAAGGCAAAAAAUUUAGAUAGUGAAGUAUUUCUCUUCUUUCUGACUGAAUUAUUUGUCUCAUUCUUUUCACAUACAAUUUAUUGUGUCCACGUUAUCUUUUAUACUCCAUGGAGUUGAGGUUGGCUGAAUGGUUUGUUGGGGUUUCUCCUUGUUUCCUUGCAGCAAGACGUUAUUUUGAGGAUAGCAAUCUAGGAAAAGCAUCUGUGGAUUACGUGUUUUUCACCUGGACUGAACAGCCCUUAGAUUUUUUUACUCUUAUUGGUGUAUUCCUCCUGAAGCUGCAAAUGGCUGGUUGCUUGAUGGACAUUAUUUCUUGAUGAACUAACAUCAGAAAAAAAAAAAAAAUCAAUUAAUAAUUUUCACAACUAGUAACCUACAUACUGAUGACUCUGCAGGACUGGUUUAGUAAUUGAAACUGGUCAUUUACAGCCAGCAGGGUCUUAUGUAGUUUCUUUUGGAAAAGCAAUUUUUUUUUUCCUUUUUUGGAUAGGUCAAAUAAAGAUAAAUUAAAAAUGCCUAGCAAAAGGGGGCAUAACCAAGCACACACAAUGUAUACAAGCACCACACCAGAGAACAUUGGAAAAGAAAAAACUUGCUUAAAGUCUCCAUGUCAAGUGAUCUGGUUGACAUAUGUAAGUAUCCAAAAACUUAAUAUAUUUUCUGUGGGGUUGAGACCUUUUUUAAUUUAAUGGUUCACGGAUUUCUUUAAAUCAUGGUGUCUCAAUGUCAUGCCUAGUAUCUUUUCAAUGUCUACAAAGACAUGGAUUUCCUUGUUCUCUUGUAGAUUUAGCUGGUUUCCAAAAUGCAGGCUCAGGUUGAUGGUAUGUCUUUCCAGCCUAUGUAUUUCUGCUUGAGAUUUAUUACCAGCAUCAUAUAUGGUUCAUUUAUAGUUUUCAAAAACUACUGGUGAGUGGCUAGUAUAGGUUUAGCUGGUUUCCUUAAUGCAGGUUCAGGGAUGUUGAUGGAAUAUAUUUUCUGGCCUACAAAUAUCUUCUCUUUGAGAGAUAUAUUCAAACAUCAUUUGGUUUGAAAGUCCUGUAGUUCCCCCAGCAAGUAAGAGCUUUCAAAUCAGGCUGAAUCAUUGAGGUUUAAGCAGUUACUUGUUUUUUUAACCUUAGCAGGCACUUUGGUCUCUCUGAGCGACAGGAGAAAGGGUUUCCAUUUCCAAAAACCUGUGUAAUUAUCAAGAUUCAUUGUAUACAAACAGAUGCAAUUCUAUUUUAGUAAUCAGCCUUUGUGUUGAGAGAGAAAAUUGUAGUGACUCCUAGAAGUUUCUUUAUUGAAACUGAAGAAAAGUCAUAGAAUUUGUUGUUUACAUUGAAAUUCAUAAUGAAAAUGGAGAUUUUUUUUUUUGUAA